rnacentral:rRNA from 1 species
UAAAAAAAGGUAAGCUACUAAGAGCGAAUGGUGGAUGCCUUGACUGGUAAAGGCGAUGAAGGACGUACUAGACUGCGAUAAGCUACGGGGAGCUGUCAAGAAGCUUUGAUCCGUAGAUUUCCGAAUGGGGCAACCCAAUGUAUAGAGAUAUACAUUACCUAUAUAGGAGCGAACGAGGGGAAUUGAAACAUCUUAGUACCCUCAGGAAAAGAAAUCAAUAGAGAUUGCGUCAGUAGCGGCGAGCGAAAGCGCAAGAGGGCAAACCCAGUGCUUGCACUGGGGGUUGUAGGACUGCAAUGUGCAAGAGCUGAGUUUAGCAGAACAUUCUGGAAAGUAUAGCCAUAGAGGGUGAUAGUCCCGUAUGCGAAAAACAAAGCUUAGCUAGCAGUAUCCUGAGUAGGGCGGGACACGAGGAAUCCUGUCUGAAUCCGGGUCGACCACGAUCCAACCCUAAAUACUAAUACCAGAUCGAUAGUGCACAAGUACCGUGAGGGAAAGGUGAAAAGAACUGAGGUGAUCAGAGUGAAAUAGAACCUGAAACCAUUUGCUUACAAUCAUUCAGAGCACUAUGUAGCAAUACAGUGUGAUGGACUGCCUUUGCAUAAUGAGCCUGCGAGUUGUGGUGUCUGGCAAGGUUAAGCAAACGCGAAGCCGUAGCGAAAGCGAGUCUGAAUAGGGCGCUUAGUCAGAUGCUGCAGACCCGAAACGAAGUGAUCUAUCCAUGAGCAAGUUGAAGCUAGUGUAAGAACUAGUGGAGGACUGAACCCAUAGGCGUUGAAAAGCCCCGGGAUGACUUGUGGAUAGGGGUGAAAGGCCAAUCAAACUUCGUGAUAGCUGGUUCUCUCCGAAAUAUAUUUAGGUAUAGCGUUGUGUCGUAAUAUAAGGGGGUAGAGCACUGAAUGGGCUAGGGCAUACACCAAUGUACCAAACCCUAUCAAACUCCGAAUACCUUAUAUGUAAUCACAGCAGUCAGGCGGCGAGUGAUAAAAUCCGUCGUCAAGAGGGAAACAACCCAGACUACCAGCUAAGGUCCCUAAAUCUUACUUAAGUGGAAAACGAUGUGAAGUUACUUAAACAACCAGGAGGUUGGCUUAGAAGCAGCCAUCCUUUAAAGAAAGCGUAAUAGCUCACUGGUCUAGUGAUUUUGCGCGGAAAAUAUAACGGGGCUAAAGUAAGUACCGAAGCUGUAGACUUAGUUUACUAAGUGGUAGGAGAGCGUUCUAUUUGCGUCGAAGGUAUACCGGUAAGGAGUGCUGGAGCGAAUAGAAGUGAGCAUGCAGGCAUGAGUAGCGAUAAUUAAUGUGAGAAUCAUUAACGCCGUAAACCCAAGGUUUCCUACGCGAUGCUCGUCAUCGUAGGGUUAGUCGGGUCCUAAGUCGAGUCCGAAAGGGGUAGACGAUGGCAAAUUGGUUAAUAUUCCAAUACCAACAUUAGUGUGCGAUGGAAGGACGCUUAGGGCUAAGGGGGCUAGCGGAUGGAAGUGCUAGUCUAAGGUCGUAGGAGGUUAUACAGGCAAAUCCGUAUAACAAUACUCCGAGAACUGAAAGGCUUUUUGAAGUCUUCGGAUGGAUAGAAGAACCCCUGAUGCCGUCGAGCCAAGAAAAGUUUCUAAGUUUAGCUAAUGUUGCCCGUACCGUAAACCGACACAGGUGGGUGGGAUGAGUAUUCUAAGGCGCGUGGAAGAACUCUCUUUAAGGAACUCUGCAAAAUAGCACCGUAUCUUCGGUAUAAGGUGUGGUUAGCUUUGUAUUAGGAUUUACUCUGAAAGCAAGGAAACUUACAACAAAGAGUCCCUCCCGACUGUUUACCAAAAACACAGCACUCUGCUAACUCGUAAGAGGAUGUAUAGGGUGUGACGCCUGCCCGGUGCUCGAAGGUUAAUUGAUGGGGUUAGCAUUAGCGAAGCUCUUGAUCGAAGCCCGAGUAAACGGCGGCCGUAACUAUAACGGUCCUAAGGUAGCGAAAUUCCUUGUCGGUUAAAUACCGACCUGCAUGAAUGGCGUAACGAGAUGGGAGCUGUCUCAAAGAGGGAUCCAGUGAAAUUGUAGUGGAGGUGAAAAUUCCUCCUACCCGCGGCAAGACGGAAAGACCCCGUGGACCUUUACUACAGCUUGACACUGCUACUUGGAUAAGAAUGUGCAGGAUAGGUGGGAGGCUUUGAGUAUAUGACGCCAGUUGUAUAUGAGCCAUUGUUGAGAUACCACUCUUUCUUAUUUGGGUAGCUAACCAGCUUGAGUUAUCCUCAAGUGGGACAAUGUCUGGUGGGUAGUUUGACUGGGGCGGUCGCCUCCCAAAUAAUAACGGAGGCUUACAAAGGUUGGCUCAGAACGGUUGGAAAUCGUUCGUAGAGUAUAAAGGUAUAAGCCAGCUUAACUGCAAGACAUACAAGUCAAGCAGAGACGAAAGUCGGUCUUAGUGAUCCGGUGGUUCUGUGUGGAAGGGCCAUCGCUCAAAGGAUAAAAGGUACCCCGGGGAUAACAGGCUGAUCUCCCCCAAGAGCUCACAUCGACGGGGAGGUUUGGCACCUCGAUGUCGGCUCAUCGCAUCCUGGGGCUGGAGCAGGUCCCAAGGGUAUGGCUGUUCGCCAUUUAAAGCGGUACGCGAGCUGGGUUCAGAACGUCGUGAGACAGUUCGGUCCCUAUCUGCCGUGGGCGUAAGAAGAUUGAAGAGAUUUGACCCUAGUACGAGAGGACCGGGUUGAACAAACCACUGGUGUAGCUGUUGUUCUGCCAAGAGCAUCGCAGCGUAGCUAAGUUUGGAAAGGAUAAACGCUGAAAGCAUCUAAGCGUGAAGCCAACUCUAAGAUGAAUCUUCUCUAAGCUCUCUAGAAGACUACUAGUUUGAUAGGCUGGGUGUGUAAUGGAUGAAAGUCCUUUAGCUGACCAGUACUAAUAGAGCGUUUGGCUUAUCUUUAAUAAAGCAU